GGGCUUGACAUCCCACGAACCUGGCCGAAAGACGGGGGUGCCCGCAAGGGAGCGCGGAGACAGGUGGUGCAUGGCUGUCGUCAGCUCGUGUCGUGAGAUGUUGGGUUAAGUCCCGCAACGAGCGCAACCCUCACCCCUUGUUGCCAUCAGGUCAGGCUGGGCACUCUAGGGGAACUGCCCCGGUCAACGGGGAGGAAGGUGGGGACGACGUCAAGUCAUCAUGCCCCUUACGUCCUGGGCUACACACGUGCUACAAUGGCCGGUACAAAGGGAUGCAAGACCGCGAGGUGGAGCUAAACCCAAAAAGCCGGUCUAAGUUCAGAUUGGAGUCUGCAACUCGACUCCAUGAAGGAGGAAUCGCUAGUAAUCGCGCAUCAGCACGGCGCGGUGAAUACGUUCCCGGGCCUUGUACACACCGCCCGUCACACCACGAAAGCCAGCUGUACUCGAAGUCGCUGAG
rnacentral:rRNA from 1 species